rnacentral:rRNA from 1 species
GAUGAACGCUAGCGGCAGGCUUAAUACAUGCAAGUCGAGGGGCAGCAUGAUUGCAGCAAUACAAUUGAUGGCGACCGGCAAACGGGUGCGGAACACGUACACAACCUCCCAAUAAGUGGGGAAUAGCCCAGAGAAAUUUGGAUUAAUACCCCGUAACAUAACGAUGUGGCAUCACCGUGUUAUUAUAGAUUUUUCGCUUAUUGAUGGGUGUGCGGCUGAACAGAUAGUUGGCGGGGUAACGGCCCACCAAGUCUACGAUCAGUAGCUGAUGUGAGAGCAUGAUCAGCCACACGGGCACUGAGACACGGGCCCGACUCCUACGGGAGGCAGCAGUAAGGAAUAUUGGACAAUGGACGCAAGUCUGAUCCAGCCAUGCCGCGUGAAGGAUUAAGGUCCUCUGGAUUGUAAACUUCUUUUAUAAGGGACGAAAAAAGGCUUUUCUAAGUCGUCUGACGGUACCUUAUGAAUAAGCACCGGCUAACUCCGUGCCAGCAGCCGCGGUAAGAC